UACGGAGGAUGCAAGCGUUAUCCGGAAUGAUUGGGCGUAAAGGGUCCGCAGGUGGCAAUGUGUGUCUGCUGUCAAAGAAUGAGGCUUAACCUCAUCAAGGCAGUGGAAACUACAUAGCUAGAGUACGGUCGGGGUAGAAGGAAUUCCUGGUGUAGCGGUGAAAUGCGCAGAUAUCAGGAAGAACACCCGUGGCGAAAGCGGCUCUCUGGAACGGUACUGACGCUGAGACGCGAAAGCGUGGGGAGCGAACAGG
rnacentral:rRNA from 1 species